UGAGGAAUUUUGCGCAAUGGGCGCAAUCCUGACGCAGCAACGCCGCGUGGGUGAUGAAGGCCUUCGGGUCGUAAAGCCCUGUCAGGUGGGAAGAAUGUCCCGGGACUGAACAGGUAUCGGGAGUGACGGUACCACCAGAGGAAGCAGCGGCUAACUCCGUGCCAGCAGCCGCGGGAAUACGGAGGGUGCAAGCGGUAUUCGGAGUUAAUGGGCGUAAAGCGCGUGUAGGCGGCCCUGCAAGUCUGAUGUGAAAGCCCCGGGCUUAACCCGGGAAGUGCAUUGGAAACUGCAGGUCUUGAGUACUGGAGAGGAUGGUGGAAUUCCCGGUGUAGAGGUGAAAUUCGUAGAGAUCGGGAGGAAUAUCAGUGGCGAAGGCGCCCAUCUGGACGGUAACUGACGCUGAGGCGCGAAAGCGUGGGGAGCAAACA
rnacentral:rRNA from 1 species